AAGCAGAGAGAUAUACAGGAUCUAAAUCGCAGAAUGCUUAAUACAUAGAAUGCUUUUAUUCGGUUCUCAUUGCGAGGUAAAUAACAUCUGUACAUUAGAUCACUAUAAAAUCGGUCGCCAUUCGUGAACGACAAUAGGGCUUCCCCCCAUUGAAACCUCAUUGUAGAAUAUGAUUCAAGAAAGGCUCGUCGCUAUGACGUUGUGUGCCCGUGUGGUUUACAGAGAGUGGAACUCGAUGGAUCUGAAAAAGAAAGAAACGGAGAAGAAAAGCAAAAAAGGAAAGAGAAACAGGCGAAAAGAGAUGGACUAACCGCGAGCAAUCGUGACCGAGCGAAUCGAGGUAAAAAAGGAAAAAGAGAAAGAUAAAAAUUUAAAAAAAGAAAGAAGUGGAGGAAUAAGGAAAAAAAGGAGAAAAAUAAAAAAAAGAAAGAGAAAGGAUAUAUUCCUUCUACGAAAGGGACGAAGAAGGCGCGCACGGUUAAAAACAGUCCCGGCGAAACAAAAGGCGGAGCAUAGAGAGAAACGUCUGAGCAUCGCUCGCAUUGUAUUUUACGUUGGAACGGGUUUUAAAUAAAAGAGUAAUGUGUUUGUCCGUUUUGCCUCCACCAGCAUGAUAGAAAAUACACACGUCUGAUACGCGCUUCUGUACGCAUAGUUUAUCGAGGGUGAGUAGGUAGGUGGGUACGUGGUUAGGUAUGUCCCCCUUUCACCCCGAGCCAGAUAUAAACUCUUAACAUCUUGGUGGAACAGCAUGUUCGGCCAAUCGGGUAGAUGCGCGGGCGUGGCCGUGCCUAAGCGCGGCUUUGCGUUUGGCCGAAGCCCCGGGGUGGAACACUGUGGCACAGUGUUUUAUUUCGCGCAACUGUGGAGGGGCUGUUAGUUUCUGCCCUAUCCCUCCCUGGUAAAUUCCUUCUCUCUUUCCCCUCUCGCUCUUUCUUUCUUCUUUUGCCUAUUCAUCUCUCUCCUAAACGUUCCACUUCGCUUUAACGUCGGUCUCUUUCGUGCUCAUUCGUUUCUUUUCGUAUUACUGUAUUCCCACCCGAACGGUACCCCUCUCCUCUUCACUUUUCCACCUUCUUCCACGUUUUUCCUCUACACUUUCCGUUUCUAUCUCUAUCCAUCUCUUCUCUCUUUCCCUCGUCUCGUUCUUCUCUGCCCUCUUGACUGCUUCCUGGUCCCCUCGCGACAUUCUAAAAGUCCCCUCCCACCCCUCGAUAUUCCCUACUCCCCUCCUCCGCGUGAGCGCGCCCCCCACCUCCUUAUUCGUCCGCCUUCAGCUCCCUCUUUGCUGCUGACACCAUCACCGCCACCGCUUCUCUGUCUCUCCACGCUACCUGAAUCGACUCUCCCGGGAUGCUGCAAUUGUUGACAAUGCCCAGAGAGUGAGAGAGAGUGCUGCGAGAGGAGUCGGGGCGAUUCCGCAUUUCGUACCCCGACACCCGUACGAGCGGUGGUGCCGCCGCUCUUCUCUGCCGGCGAACUUUCGGAAGUGUAGGCGCGUGCGCGUGCUAUUAGAGCUAUCUCUCUUCGCCCAACUGGUACACCGUUUCCUCCGUCUUUCUUCCUUCUUUCACUCUAUUAUAUCCGUCUCUCUCUUUCUCGUCCUCUCGUUCCUCGUUUCGCUGUACGGUGCCGGUUCGAGAGUUUCUACCGAACAGCGUUAAAUGUGAUUUCUUCGGUUGAAGUAAGAAGAGCCCGUGUACCGCUUAACGCUGUGGGCCUCCUUUAUCGACCAAUGAUUCAGUGUGGCCACUGACGCGGCCAAAUAUACGAGGUAUACAUAUACAGUGUGCAUAUCCUGGAAACGAUAAAAUAUAUGUACUGAUAGAAAUAUCGGUUACGUGAGUUAAUAAAUCGGUUAUGAGAAAUACUCGGUAGUGAACGAUUUUACGCGACGGGUGUUAGAAUGGGAGCGACGCGUGUCAGUGCGAACUGGGCUUUAUGCUCGGCCCAAAACGAUUGUCCUCGGUGAUCGAGCCUAUUCUAUUGUGAGUUUAAUGACGAUGCCUACUGAUCCGUGAUCCUUGUUGAUUUUAUCGCUCUUUCGUACAGUGGUCAUUCACUGGUUUUGUUUUUUUUUUGUUUUUUACGUUUUUCAUUGAUCACGUUGAUUCGAUUGUUGUUCUUUAUAUAUUGAAACAAUGUCGUUACCGCGGGGUGUCGGUCUUGGUGUCGACGUUGGUCAAUUGAUGCAACACCAGCAACAGCAGCAACAACAUCACGUGCUACCAGCCGCGUUCUUCCUUCGUGCCAGUGCCGAGAGAUAUCAAAGGACACCGAAGUGUGCGAGAUGCCGUAAUCACGGCGUUGUUUCCGCGUUGAAGGGUCACAAACGGUACUGUCGUUGGCGGGACUGCGUGUGUGCUAAAUGUACACUGAUCGCUGAGAGACAACGGGUUAUGGCUGCCCAGGUCGCGUUACGGAGGCAGCAGGCGCAGGAGGAAAGCGAAGCUCGCGAGUUGGGCCUGCAAUUGCAGUACAAUGCGGGCAGCUGCACCACCGCACCCGUGUUGCCUGGCGCAGCGAGUGCUACCACUCCAGCUGGCAGUCCGCCCCCGCACCCGGCCCAUGUAGCGAGUCCUGCCGGCCUGGCAAUUCCGGCGGCUGCGGCUGCUGCGGCGGCCGCCGCCGCUGCGCAUAUCCAAACGCAACUCCAACACCAACAGCCCGAUUGCGGUCUCCUACAGCGGAAAAGACUCCCCCAAGACGAAUAUCGGCAGCCCAAGGUCGAGAAACAGGAGUCAAUCACCGGUGGAAUUGGCGGCACAAAGAGGUCGAGAAUCUCUGAGAGCACUACGGGAACAAUGCUCUCCACGAGCGACACCGGUAACGAAGACGACCGUGACUCCGACUCCGGUGGAGAACUUCUUGCUGACCGUUCAUUGGUUCCGACGUCGGUUGGAAUGACGGAGAACGAUACAACGCGAAAACGGUCAAAUAGCUUGAAUGACUCCGAAGAUGGAAGCCCGGAACCAGGUUCUCAGAGUCCGACGCACACACCUCCACUGACGCCAGCACUAACGCCGCAAAGGGAGGAUACGCCGGCGCCAGAGAAUCUCAGCCUCCGCAAAAGCGGAAGCCCUCAGCAGACGCAACAGACCCUUCAGCCAGUGGACCUGGUGCAGCCUAGACCUAGUCCACCGUUACCCUCGUUGGCGGCUGCAGCGACGGCAGUACACUUUCCACCUUACGCUCCCCUCUAUGGUCCAGCAGCGAGUUCUCUCUACUGUUCACCAGCUUUGUACCAGCAUCAGCACCACCAUCACAUCCCAGAACCACGCGAGAUCCAAAUGCAAAUGCAGAUGCAAAAUAUUCAACAAACCUGCGGCCUUCAGUUACAACAGCAACAACAGCAGCAACAACAACAACAGCAACAGCAACAACGAUCGCCCGUCGACGUACUGUUGCGAGUGUUUCCCGGAAGACGUCGCGCGGACGUCGAGGCUCUGUUGCACCGGUGCAAAGGCGACGUGGUGUCGGCGAUGGAGGUAUUGGUCUGCGAGGACAGUCUCCAGCCGAAGUCUGCGUUCUCGCCGCUAGCAGGCGCGUUAGCGUCGGCUGCGGCCGCAUCUGCCUCGGUCUCAGCCGCAUAUGCGAGCCGGGCCGCUUACUGCACCACUCCCAUACCGUCGACCAGGCACAGGUUCCUGGCCGCGCCGUACGCGGGUACCGGCUACCUGCCCACGGUGAUCAAGCCGCCCAAUCAGAGCCUACACGCAAAUGGAACAGGCGACGCCUAUCGGGAGACCAGUCCCGAUGAUGCCAGUGACAAGACGAGCUACUCCGAGUGACCGGACGAUGCGCAGGCCGCCACCUGGUCUUACCUGCAAUAGCUUAGGGGUAACGGUGGGGAGGGAUUUCGACCGUGGAAAUGGCGGCGCAUCCGCUGUCGUUUCUUCAAGAGGAUGAGAAGUCAUAUUGGGGAGCGAGAGGGUUUCCAGAAGGUUUCCGAGUGGAUUCUCUGUGGGAUACGAAGAGGAUGGUUCGAGAUCAUUGUGACAAGAAAUAUUUGAUGGCAAAAUUGGCGAGGACUUGGGAUUGAAGAGGAUCCGAUGUCAACUUACGAGUUAAGUCAAGUUAUCAUUAGAGGUUAUGAUGACAUAAUGAAAGGUUGACAGCGAAUGGUUCUGAAUGGAUAUUUGAAGCAGAAGCUAGAGAUUGAUAAAGACUUGGAAAUAUGUGAUUUCUUAAAAAAGAUACGAUGUCAUCUUACGAAUGAAAUGAGUUGUCGUAAGGAUUUGAAGGUUAUGACGACGCAGUUUGGAAAACACAGAUGGAAGUUUGGAAGCGAAUAGCUUUGAUGAUGGAGAUUUGCAACAGAUGAUAAGAAUGAGACAGUGUCUUGAAAAUGAUUGGAAACAGAAAACGGGCCAUGGAACCUAAGUAAGGAAGAUAAGGAAGAAUUGGUAAAAUCUACAAUUCUACUUACAUACUUAUGAAUGUAACCUAAUCCGAAAGGUCCAAAGAAGAAACUUCCAAAACAUGUCUUUCCGAGGGAACCUUGCAUAUUUCCUCAAAAACAUAGUAGUCGCGUUACAUACAAGGUAUGUCACUUAAGAAGAAAUCAAAGUUCUUCGAAGGAAAUCAAAUAUGGCGGAAGAAGACGUUCCGCAAUUUUAUAGCGUGUGAACCACAAUGAAGAAUUCCCGUAGACCCUCUCCACCGCGUGCUGCGGAUACCGUUAGAAAAUUUUCAAUCCUGAAAAGUUGAAGAUUUUUUGUCGAACGUCUCUAAAGAAUAUAUGAAACAGUGUGGCCAGUAAUCCACCGAAUAAUACAACUCGUGUCGAUCAGUUUCGUAUAGUGUUUCGUUCCGUGAACGUACUAAGAGAAACAGAUCACGAUAAAGAGAAUGAAAAACGAGCCGUUUGUGCGAUGAACGGCUGUCUCAUUGUAACAAUAUAUCUUUAUACAUGUGUAGAUAAAGCGACUUAACGAAGUGUGUAUGUGUGUGUGUGUGUGUGUAGGUUAUGUUCGAGAGAGAGAGAGAAUGAAAGAAGAAAAUUGUAUUGUCACGAUAAAAAUUAACCAGUAAAAAGAAAACAGGAAAAAGGAGAAAGGAAUUGUAAAUACGCGUGAAUUGCUUUAGCCUGAUCAUCCAUUGCAGUUAACCGGAAAUACUGUCACGGAGUAUGUUUAGCGAAGUUACACCCGUAAUAAAUAACGAAAAGAGCAAAAACAAAAAUAAGAAAAUUCAAAAAAAAUGAUGUUGAGGAAAAAAAGAACAUAAAACGGAAAAUAAAUUACGUGUUUCUGGAUACAGGAACAUGUACGUAUAACACGACCGAUUAUGCAUAAGUGUUUGCCUGUAAGUAUCACGGCUCUAAGAUGUUUAGAUUCGCCGGCGACCAGAAGCGUCGUUCUUUGUAGUUACCAUAUGUUAUCCGAGAAAAUGUAUAGACGGUUUAUGAGAAUAAUAAAUAAGAUAUUGAUACUCCAUA